AUUGAACGCUGGCGGCGUGCCUAAUACAUGCAAGUCGAACGAAGUGGCGCACGGGUGAGUAAUAUAUAUUUAAUCCGCCCUACUCAGAGGAACAACAGUUGGAAACCGCUGCUAAUACCCCCUAGUGGAGGAUGAGACUGUAUCGUUUCAGCUAGUUGGUAAGGUAAUGGCUUACCCAGGCUAUGACGCGUAACUGGUCUGAGAGGAUACUCAGUCACAUCGGAACGGAGACACGGGUGGGACACCUUCGGGAGGGAGCAGUAGGGAAAAGUGCGCAAUGGGGGAAACCCUGAAGCGGCAACGGGGCGUGGAGGAUGACACGUGUGGAAGCGUGAACUCAUUUUAUCAGGAAUGCGGUACCUGAUGAAUAAGCACCGGCUAACUCCGUGCCAGCAGCCGCGGUAAUAC
rnacentral:rRNA from 1 species